UUAGACAAUAUGAUUUGCCUGAGUGGCUAGGAUACACAGAGAGUAACAAGUGGUAGAAAAUGGAUUAGAAAGGACAUAUUUUAAAAAAUGAUAAUAAUAAUAAUUUUAAAAAAAAACUAUUAUUAUUAUUAUUUUCUUUUUUUAACUUGGGACUUCCCGCAGGCCGGAUUUUGGACGCUGGCGGGCCGUAGUUUGGGAACCCCUGUGCUACAGAGUGGUUGCCUUGAAGAUGGAUAGCAGAGAAAUGGAGCAAUCUUCCUCAAACACCUGCGUUGAUCUGGAAUACAUCCUAAAAGGGCUGGACUUACUGUCUGAUUGCAUGGAUCAACUAGCAUUGCAAAUACAGCUUAAGCUGUGUGAUCUGAUCGUUUCUGUCGGCCACCCUGACAAGCUGGGACACCUGAAAGUCCAGGAGGCACCGAAUCAGCUGCCGCAAGCUUCACCUGUGACUGAUGUAUGAAAAACAGAGAUUUAAGCAUGAUGUGAGAGGACCUUAUUUACUUCUUUAAGAGCGGCAUCUCCACACCAGCUGGGAGCCAAAGUUUGAAACCACAGUACAACUAAGACACAGUAAUAGGACCUACAUAAAUGAACUUAACAAAAUGAUAAGGUACACGGGUCACCUUUAACACUUGUGUGUUAUGGCAUUGCUUUGACAAUAGCACCAUCUGCUGCUCAGUUUUUGUACGUGCUUGUAGUUAAACCAAUUCUUUGGAAUGUGAUUUAAAUGAAGGCUAUAUUUAUUUCCAGAUGGUGAACAAAUACUCUAACUUUUACCUAGUAGUGCACAUAUGCAGUAGAUUACAGCCUAACAAAAACACUGCAUGAG